rnacentral:rRNA from 1 species
AGAGUUUGAUCAUGGCUCAGAGCGAACGCUGGCGGCGUGCUUAACACAUGCAAGUCGAGUGCGCGCCUGUAGCAAUACAGGUGGCGCACGGCGCACGGGUGCGUAACACGUGGGUAAUCUGCCCUUCGAUGGGGAAUAACUCCGGGAAACCGAAGCUAAUUCCGCAUAACAUUCCUUGAACUUCGGUUUGGGGACUCAAAGCCGUAAGGCGUCGGAGGAGGAACCCGCGCACGAUUAGCUAGUUGGUAGGGUAACGGCCUACCAAGGCUUUGAUCGUUAGCUGGUCUGAGAGGAUGGCCAGCCACACUGGAACUGAGACACGGUCCAGACUCCUACGGGAGGCAGCAGUGGGGAAUCUUGCACAAUGGGCGAAAGCCUGAUGCAGCGACGCCGCGUGGGGGAUGAAGCUUUUCGGAGUGUAAACCCCUUUCGACCCGGACGAAUGUCCCGCAAGGGAACUGACGGUACGGGUAUAAGAAGCCCCGGCUAACUACGUGCCAGCAGCCGCGGUAAGACGUGGGGGGCCAGCGUUGCUCGGAAUUACUGGGUGUAAAGGGUUCGUAGGCGGUGUAGCAAGUCGGGAGUGAAAUCUCUGGGCUCAACCCAGAGACUGCUUCCGAAACUGCUGUGCUUGAGUGUGGGAGAGGCGCGUGGAAUUGCAGGUGUAGCGGUGAAAUGCGUAGAUAUCUGCAGGAACACCCGUGGCGAAAGCGGCGCGCUGGACCACUACUGACGCUGAGGAACGAAAGCUAGGGGAGCAAACAGGAUUAGAUACCCUGGUAGUCCUAGCCCUAAACGAUCAGGACUUGGGGUGCCGCACGUUCGUGCGUCGUCCCGGAGCUAACGCGUUAAGUCCUGCACCUGGGGAGUACGGUCGCA